UAGAGUUUGAUCCUGGCUCAGGAUGAACGCUGGCGGUAUGCUUAACACAUGCAAGUCGAACGGUACCUUCGGGUAUAGUGGCUUGACGGGUGAGUAACGCGUGAGAAUCUAUCUUCAGGUCGGGGACAACAGUUAGAAAUGACUGCUAAUACCGGAUGUGCCGAAAGGUGAAAGAUUAAUUGCCUGAAAUUGAGCUCGCGUCAGAUUAGCUAGUAGGUGGUGUAAUGGACUACCUAGGCAUCGAUCUGUAGCUGGUCUGAGAGGACGAUCAGCCACACUGGAACUGAGACACGGUCCAGACUCCUACGGGAGGCAGCAGUGGGGAAUUUUCCGCAAUGGGCGAAAGCCUGACGGAGCAAUACCGCGUGAGGGACGAAGGCUUUUGGGUCGUAAACCUCUUUUCUCAAGGAAGAUAGUGACGGUACUUGAGGAAUAAGCAUCGGCUAACUCUGUGCCAGCAGCCGCGGUAAUACAGAGGAUGCAAGCGUUAUCCGGAAUGAUUGGGCGUAAAGCGUCCGCAGGUGGUUUUGUAAGUCUGCUGUUAAAGCGUGUGGCUCAACCACAUACAGGCAGUGGAAACUAUAAGACUAGAGUAUGUUAGGGGUAGAGGGAAUUCCCAGUGUAGCGGUGAAAUGCGUAGAGAUUGGGAAGAACACCGGUGGCGAAAGCGCUCUGCUAGGGCAAUACUGACACUGAGGGACGAAAGCUAGGGGAGCGAAUGGGAUUAGAUACCCCAGUAGUCCUAGCCGUAAACGAUGGAUACUAGGCGUUGCCCGUAUCGACCCGGGCAUUGUCGUAGCUAACGCGUUAAGUAUUCCGCCUGGGGAGUACGCACGCAAGUGUGAAACUCAAAGGAAUUGACGGGGGCCCGCACAAGCGGUGGAGUAUGUGGUUUAAUUCGAUGCAACGCGAAGAACCUUACCAGGACUUGACAUGUCGCGAACCCUGCUGAAAGGUGGGGGUGCCUUCGGGAGCGCGAACACAGGUGGUGCAUGGCUGUCGUCAGCUCGUGUCGUGAGAUGUUGGGUUAAGUCCCGCAACGAGCGCAACCCUCGUUUUUAGUUGCCAUCAUUAAGUUGGGCACUCUAGAGAGACUGCCGGUGACAAACCGGAGGAAGGUGGGGAUGACGUCAAGUCAGCAUGCCUCUUACGUCCUGGCUACACACGUACUACAUGCUACGAACAAAGGGCAGCUAGUUAGCAAUAACAUGCAAAUCUCAGAAAUCGUAGCUCAGUCAGGUGAGGCUGCUACACGCCUUCAUGAAGUCGAAUCGCUAGUAUGCAGGUCAGCAUACUGCAUGGAUCGUUUCCGGGCCUGUACUACCGCCGUCAACAUGAGC
rnacentral:rRNA from 1 species